rnacentral:rRNA from 1 species
GACGUCGAUCGACCGUGGAAAGGAUCUCCUACUCCGUGCGACGCCAUUGAUAGACAGCUGUUCUCGAGCUGCUCCUCUAUUCAGUUGGGUGAUGGUCAGCUUGCGCUGUUCUGGAUGGAUAGAUGGAUGCAUGGGGAGGCCCCUUAUGUGAUUGCACCGGAGAUCUUCAAGCUGGCGCAUUUUAAAAGAAUUACUGUCAAAGGGGCUUUGACAAACGACCGGUGGAUGCAAGGUCUACAAAGAAUGAACAACGAGGAGCAGCUAGCACAAUUUGUCAGAAUUUGGGAGGAGGUUCAGAAGGUGAGCCUCUCGGAGGCAAAGGAUGUGAUCAGGUGGUCACUCACGGCAAACGGCUCCUACUCUGCAUGCUCUGCCUAUGCCAUCCAGUUUGCGGCCAGGAUAGAGCAGCUGGAUCUUGAGAGAAUAUGGAGAUGCAAGAUGGAGGGGAAGGUCAAAUUCUACCUUUGGUUACUCCUGCAGAACAUAAAUUGGACGGCGGAUAGACUAUUAGCGCGAAAUUGGCCACAUAAUGAUCGAUGCAAGUUGUGUGAUCAAGAGGCUGAAUCUGCAAUGCAUUUGACGCUGGGGUGUUCUUUUGCAAAGGAAAUAUGGUUCCACUUCCAGGGGUCUAACAGUAGGAUGUGGCAUAUUGCGUCUUCGGCUAGCUCGAUUACAGAUUGGUGGAGAAGGCUAUGCUCCGGACGCGGUCCGAAGUACAAGGUACAAGAGGAUAUCACGUUGGCGGCCUACAUUGCCUGGCACCUGUGGAAGGAACGCAACAGGAGGAUCUUUCAGCAGAAGGAAUUGAUUGUGUUCAUGUUGGCUGAUUUAAUCAGCGAUGAUGUAAAAUUAUACGUUGAGGCCACUGGUCAGGGUCAGGUUAUUGCAUAA